UACGGAGGGUGCGAGCGUUGUUCGGAAUCACUGGGCGUAAAGGGCGCGUAGGUGGUUUGAUAAGGGUGUGGUGAAAGCCCGGGGCUCAACCCCGGGUCUGCCGUGCCGACUGUCAAACUCGAGGGCUGCAGAGGCAGACGGAAUUCCGGGUGUAGCGGUGGAAUGCGUAGAGAUCCGGAGGAAGACCGGUGGCGAAGGCGGUCUGCUGGGCAGUUUCUGACACUGAGGCGCGACAGCGUGGGGAGCAAACAGG
rnacentral:rRNA from 1 species